rnacentral:RNase_P_RNA from 1 species
GGAGUGGGCCGAGCGUCCGCUGCGGCGGGCGUGUUGCGGCUUCGGCUGCGAUGCGAUCCGCCGGGGAGGAAAGUCCGGGCUCCACAGAACACGGUGGUGGAUAACGUCCACCGUCCGCGAGGACCGGGAAAGUGCCACAGAAAACAAACCGCCGAUGGCUCAUCGGCAACACGUCGAGUUGAGAACGGAAACACGUGCCACGGCUCUGUGACCCGUGCGGGCGCGGAAAACGCCCCGGCACGCGGCACGGCCGAUACGCCCGUGGCACUCCAGUCAACUCGCCGCGUUGCCGGUGAGAUCAGGUAAGGGUGAAACGGUGCGGUAAGAGCGCACCGCGGUUCUGGCGACAGAACCGGCACGGCAAACCCCACCGGGAGCAAGACCAAGCAGGGUGGAGGAGCUGUUCGCUCCGUUUGACACCCGGGUGUGUCGCAUCGAGGCGCUGAGGCAACUCACGUCCCAGAGAAAUGGACGCUCCAGACAGAACCCGGCUUAUAGGCCCACUCCGGUC